rnacentral:rRNA from 1 species
UACGUAGGGUGCAAGCGUUGUCCGGAAUUAUUGGGCGUAAAGAGCUCGUAGGCGGUCUGUCGCGUCGGAUGUGAAAAUCCAGGGCUCAACCCUGGACCUGCAUUCGAUACGGGCAGACUAGAGUUCGGUAGGGGAGACUGGAAUUCCUGGUGUAGCGGUGAAAUGCGCAGAUAUCAGGAGGAACACCGGUGGCGAAAGCAGCUCUCUGGGACGGUACUGACGCUGAGACGCGAAAGCGUGGGGAGCGAACAGG